CUCUCUAUCUCUAGUCUCUACUCUCUAGUUUGUGCAACUCGAAAAUCCCUGAAAGCAUAAAUCUAUAUUGAAGAUACAAAUCGAAAUCAAUUUUUGAAUGUUAGAGGUCUAUUAUUCCUCCUGUUUUUCUUCAGCUUCACCAUGGGAGCUAGCCGGAAGGUUCAAGGGGAGAUCGAUCGGGUCCUGAAGAAGGUCCAAGAGGGCGUUGAUCUCUUCGACAGUAUCUGGAACAAGGUUUACGAUACCGACAAUGCGAACCAGAAGGAGAAAUUCGAGGCGGAUUUGAA